rnacentral:rRNA from 1 species
AUUGAACGCUGGGCGGCAGGCCUAACACAUGCAAGUCGAGCGGUAGAGAGGUGCUUGCAUCUCUUGAGAGCGGCGGACGGGUGAGUAAUGCCUAGGAAUCUGCCUAGUGGUGGGGGAUAACGUUCGGAAACGGACGCUAAUACCGCAUACGUCCUACGGGAGAAAGCAGGGGGACCUUCGGGCCUUGCGCUAUCAGAUGAGCCUAGGUCGGAUUAGCUAGUUGGUGAGGUAAUGGCUCACCAAGGCGACGAUCCGUAACUGGUCUGAGAGGAUGAUCAGUCACACUGGAACUGAGACACGGCCCAGACUCCUACGGGAGGCAGCAGUGGGGAAUUUUGGACAAUGGGCGAAAGCC